rnacentral:lncRNA from 1 species
CUCCAGGCCCCAGAUGACAGAGCCUGCGAGGUUUCAGCACCUGCUCCUCUGGGCCCUCCCCCACAACCUGCCCUCUCUCCUCCUCCCAGGGGGCAAGUUCAUGGUGAACCUUCCCUCAGGAAGCUGAGCACAGGCUGCUUGCGGAAAAGCCAACAAACAGAGGGGGGAGCCCAGGCCGCAGCCCCCUUGGGACAGCAGCGCUGAGGGUGCUCGAGGGCAGCUCCAGCCUGGGCCCUUCCAGAAGGACCCUCCCCAUCUCCGUCUACAUCUACGCCCAGGGAGGUCAAAGGCAUCAGGAAAGGUGCAUGGGCCAAGAAGCCCCAGGACCACAGGUCCAGAAACUGAGAUGACGGAGGCCAGGAUUCCAGGAAGGGGACACAUGAGGACAGGCUUCCUGGUUUCCAGCGGGGAGAGGCCAUGAGGCCAUCCCCCUCAGCAGGAAUCUCCAAGUUGAGGAAAACAAUUUCGUGCCAUUCAGUUUAAAAUAGGAAAUUGGGAGGGAGAGGCAGAUACAGGGAAGAGAAAAUAAAUGAAGUCACCCCCCCCACCCUGAAAAGAAGAAAAGGAGCGUACAUCCCCCCCCACCCAAGGAGGAAAAGGUCCGGUCCACACAGCGAAGGUUCACAGUGUCCAUCUGUGGAAGAGACCUUGUGGCUGUCCCGUGUCGCUGCACGUAAGCGCCUUAUAACCUACCGCGCUUGUCCCCCGAUGCCUGCCCCCCUUUCUGGCCUCAGUCUGUCUUUAACGGGUUUUGAGACCCUACAAGCUUUCCUUCCCUCUCCCUCCUCCCUGUGCUUCCUCCUCUGCUAAAAGUCCGGGACACGGGGGUGGGGAACAUCAGAGACCCUCGGCCAGGCCCAGACUCUCAGCCCUGCCCUGGGAGGAGGGGGAGCAGUGAGAGGCGAGGGGCCAAGGCAGGCCCCUCCU